rnacentral:rRNA from 1 species
UACACUCCUGCGGGAGGCAGCAGUGGGGAAUUUUGGACAAUGGGCGAAAGCCUGAUCCAGCAAUGCCGCGUGAGUGAAGAAGGCCUUCGGGUUGUAAAGCUCUUUUGUCAGGGAAGAAACGGUGAAAGCUAAUAUCUUUUGCUAAUGACGGUACCUGAAGAAUAAGCACCGGCUAACUACGUGCCAGCAGCCGCGGUAAUACGUAGGGUGCAAGCGUUAAUCGGAAUUACUGGGCGUAAAGCGUGCGCAGGCGGUUUUGUAAGUCUGAUGUGAAAUCCCCGGGCUCAACCUGGGAAUUGCAUUGGAGACUGCAAGGCUAGAAUCUGGCAGAGGGGGGUAGAAUUCCACGUGUAGCAGUGAAAUGCGUAGAUAUGUGGAGGAACACCGAUGGCGAAGGCAGCCCCCUGGGUCAAGAUUGACGCUCAUGCACGAAAGCGUGGGGAGCAAACAGGAUUAGAUACCCUGGUAGUCCCAU